rnacentral:rRNA from 1 species
CCUACGGGCGACAGCAGUGGGGAAUAUUGCACAAUGGGGGGAACCCUGAUGCAGCGACGCCGCGUGGGUGAAGAAGGAUUUCGGUAUGUAAAGCUCUAUCAGCAGAGAAGAAGAUGACGGUACCUGACUAAUAAGCCCCGGCUAACUACGUGCCAGCAGCCGCGGUAAUACGUAGGGGGCAAGCGUUAUCCGGAUUUACUGGGUGUAAAGGGUGCGUAGGCGGGAGGACAAGUCUGGUGUGAAAGCCCGUGGCUCAACCCCGGGACUGCAUUGGAAACUGGCAUGCUAGAGUGCUGGAGAGGUAGGCGGAAUUCCGAGUGUAGCGGUGACAUGCGUAGAUAUUAGGAGGAACACCAGUGGCGAAGGCGGCUUACUGGACAGUAACUGACGUUGAGGCUCGAAAGCGUGGGGAGCAAACAGGAUUAGAUACCCGAGUAGUC